UACGGAAUGUGCAAACGUUAUUCGGAAUCACUGGGCUUAAAGAGUCCGUAGGCGGCAUGUUAGGUGAGGUGUGAAAUCCCACGGCUCAACCGUGGAAUUGCGCUUCAAACCGGCGUGCUUGAGGAAGAUAGAGGUGGGCGGAACUGAUGGUGGAGCGGUGAAAUGCGUUGAUAUCGUUUGGAACGCCAAUGGUGAAAACAGGUUGCUGGGAGUGUGCUGACGCUGAGACACGAAAGCCAGGGGAGCAAACGGG
rnacentral:rRNA from 1 species